UGGUGAAGACUGGGCGAUUGCUGAUUAGCCAUGAGGCUCCCUUGACAGGAGGAUUUGCAUCUGAAAUCAGUUCCACAGUUCAGGAGGAAUGCUUUUUGAAUUUAGAAGCUCCUAUUUCAAGAGUAUGUGGCUAUGACACUCCUUUCCCUCACAUCUUUGAGCCUUUCUACAUCCCAGACAAAUGGAAAUGCUAUGAUGCUCUUCGAAAAAUGAUUAACUACUGAGCAGUAGUACAGGGAUGAGAAGAACAACAGGGAAAUACAGAAGCUGCCUUCAAAACUCUUGACACUUUACUCAGAUCUUUUGGGUUUGGAAUUCACAUAGCAGACUGUUUUCUCUGAACUCAACUACCCUUAAUAUUCAUCUUGGCUAUUCUUCAGAAAGUUCAAAUCUUCCUUAAUUAUGAAAUCAGUGAUGGGCAGUUGAUUGCUAUAAUAAGUAGUUUCAGAUGUAUUUAAAGAUAUCCAGAUGUUGUAUGAAUGCUAUACAUUGCCAUGCUUCACUAGGUUACAUCUCUAAACUUCACUGUGUAAAUAUUAGAAGCAGGAUUUUAUUCAAUAAAACAUAUUAUGCACAUGUCUCUUGGUUUUGUUAUUUUUUGGGGAAAACCCAAAGAGGUUAUUUGAAUGUGACUGUAUUUUCAACAAAAUAAACCUUAGACAGCCAGACCUCCUUUAACCGGUGUCAUUAGCUGUCUUUCAGUUGAGUGGCUUCAUGUAAAAUAGUCCCAAAUACUGAUUCUCCUUUCUGCAAGGGAAAUGAAAACUCCAUUUUUCUUGAGAAGGGAGGAGAGAUUUUUUUGCUUUGUUGCUAUAGGUGAGAGGCUCCAUUGGUACAUCUUUGCUGCAAUACCUUUGUUUAAUUAUUUUUCCUCUAGAUAUGGAAUGUGUCUGCUCCUAAGCAGUUGUGCAAAAUGUGCCAAUUUGUCUAGAAAAGGUAACAGUACCCUGAUAUAUUCAUGCCAGUGGUGGGAGAAGAGGCAGUGCACAUGCCAUUUUCUGUUGGUGAGGACACAGAAAUAAAAAAUUACCAAAAAGACUCUGCUAUAAAAUUAAACCUGAAUGUUUAUUUUUCCUCUGCUAUUAUAAAGGGCACUGAACAUCCCUAAAUGCAAAAAGGAGUCCAACCUUUCAGACUGAGAGCUUCUGAGCUCAGUGGAGGUUUGCUUAAUUUUUAAUAAUGCCCUUCUUUUCCAUAUGACAAGCCAAGGACGCAGCAAAGAUGUUGUGAAAAUUACCCUCUUUUGUCCUACGUUCCAGGACUGCUCAAAGGGCAGCAGAUCUUCAUCCAGCACAGUAGUUUCAAAGCUUACUACUGAAUUCCUUUGGUACCAGCUCUGCUCAUUUUUCCACCACCUAAAUUAAGUGUGAAUUCAGCAGUUCCUAGUCUUUUUGGUUGCUUUGCUCUCUGUACAAACCAAUCUCAUGCUGCGUUGCUUCUUAUUAUAUGGGGGAAGGAGGGGAGGGGUUGGGAAGAUGUAUGCCAGUAGCAGAUAACCACAUUUCCAUUAUUAUUCAGGGGGUUCUUUCAGAGAGAAAGAAGAAUACCUUUGUACACAAACCUGCUCAGGGCAGUCCUCAAGGUGACGGCUGAAACAGGCCAGGGAGGAAGCUCAGGAGGAUAACUUCACUCUGAAUGUCAGUGGGUAUUCCCCACCAUGCCCCUCCAUCACCCAUUAUGAUCUGGGAGGUUGUUAAUCGAGCAGAUCCACUGAAAUCCAAGGGAAAUCUGGCCUUUGGGACAACAUUGAUGGGUGCCGAAGUGCAUGUGCCCACAUCUCAAAGUGGUGUGCUUCUCAGGGCUCCUAGGCGACUCUCAUCUCACUGUCCCAAACCUCAGGAGCAAUCCUUGUAGCGUGGUUCGUUGUUUGUAACGUGGGGCGAUGCUUGCCCUCCAGCAGAACUCAACUCAAAAAGCCACGUUCAAAGGACUUGUACGGAUGGAAGGUGCUAAAUGAUCUUUUCAGGUCCUACUACCAUUUUGUGUAAGAUUCUGCGUUCAUAGUUCAUAUCUUCCCUACAGAAUCUCACAACUGAUAAUGAAGCUAUUUGUUAAUGUUUCUAAUCAAAAUGAACAUUAGUCAAGUCUUCUGUCUGUAAGUCUCCUGUAAAUGCCGUGUGUAGAAUUUGUUUAUUGCUUUAAAUAAGACAGAUGCAUUAUGUAUUUUAUAUUUUUUGUGCUGGAUGGAAACUAUUUUGGUUUUAUAAAGAAAAAUGGUUUUAAAAAUUAUUUCUCUCGUUGUAGAAAAUCAACAGAUAUUUUAGUAACUGUCUUCUAAAAAUGUACUGUUGCUAUAUUUCAAAGCAUAUAAAAUAGAUACAAUUAUAGUAGAGUCAUAGAAUAUCUCAAGUUGGAAGUACUGCCAUAGUAAAACGUGCUUUGGUAGUUAAUAGCCUUAAUACUAUAUACUUUGUAUUUGCGGUUUUCAUAGAUAAAAGCAGUUUGUAAUUUAGUGCAGAGCUUAAGUUCAGGUUGCGUGUAUGGAAAUGCAGAAUAAUAUAUUUCUUAAUAAACAUGUAGAAAAUA